UUAUUGACCAAAAUGGCAUAUCUUUCUUAGUCUUCCUUCCCCCAAUGGAAUGAGCACAACAAGGUACUAAUACCACCAUUAAAAGGAAAAAAAACUAAUUGAAGAUGUGCCAAUGUACAAGUUACAUCAUAAUUUAUAUUGUAUCUCUAACAAAUCUCAUAAAUCCGUCAAGGUUGGGAGGAGGUUGUGUUGGCAGUGGUGGAAAUG
rnacentral:lncRNA from 1 species